CCUGCAUCUACUCAGAAGUCACCAUCAUAACUUUCCAAAAUGUGAGCAAUAAGGACAUUUCUCCUGACCCUGUGCAGUCAUGAAACCCAAAGCUCUAAAUGUCAGAUCAACUGAUCUCUACAGAGCACAGGUCUCUGGAUCUCUUAGCACCUGCUUCUUUGUUUUGGGCCCAAGGAGACAGCUUUCAGAGUGCAAUUCUGCAUCUUGCUGAAACAUUCUGUUGAAGGUAGAGGAUCUCAGAAACAGUAGUUUAAGGAGGAAAUUGCACCUGUAAAGAGAGGAAUAAAGAAGAACUGGGAAUUUGUGGAAGAGCACUUACAUCAUGAGUAAUUCCUUCAUACCAGUUUUGUGAAUAAUAGAUGCAUCAUAUAUAUUUGGA